ensembl:snoRNA small nucleolar RNA SNORA17
CCUGACCCUAGAAGCAUUGCAGGUGUGGCUGUUGUGUAUGUAUGAAUCAGUAGGUGGCAGAGAGGAGAGGCUAUGUCUACGCUCAGUGUUCUUACCUACUGUGAAGGUUUGAAUUUGCUAGGCCCAGGGAGUGGCAGAU